rnacentral:snRNA from 1 species
GGAUGUGAGGGCGAUCUGGCUGCGACAUCUGUCACCCCAUUGAUCGCCAGGGUUGAUUCGGCUGAUCUGGCUGGCUAGGCGGGUGUCCCCCUCCUCCCUCACCGAUCCAUGUGCGUCCCUCCCGAAGCUGCGCGCUCGAAGAGGACAACCUUCCCCCCAGAAGAGAAGACCAGUCUUCGGUCAAGGGUAUACGAGUAGCUGCGCUCCCCUGCUAGAACCUCCAAACAAGCUCUCAAAUAUUAGUUGCUCUAUUCAAAUGCCACACAACUGAAAAUGAUAAGACUGAGAUAUAAUAAAGGACUUUGGCAUUUUCAUUCAUU